rnacentral:rRNA from 1 species
AUUGAACGCUGGCGGCAGGCCUAACACAUGCAAGUCGAGCGAGCGGCGGACGGGUGAGUAAUGUCUGGGAAACUGCCUGAUGGAGGGGGAUAACUACUGGAAACGGUAGCUAAUACCGCAUACCAUCGGAUGUGCCCAGAUGGGAUUAGCUAGUAGGUGGGGUAACGGCUCACCUAGGCGACGAUCCCUAGCUGGUCUGAGAGGAUGACCAGCCACACUGGAACUGGGACACGGUCCAGACUCCUACGGGAGGCAGCAGUGGGGAAUAUUGCACAAUGGGCGAAAGCCUGAUCCAGCCAUGCCGCGUGUGUGAAGAAGGUCUUCGGAUUGUAAAGCACUUUAAGUUGGGAGGCGUUACCCGCAGAAGAAGCACCGGCUAACUCCGUGCCAGCAGCCGCAGUAAUAC